GAACCAGACCAAUGACUGACUGCAAUGAACAUUGGCAAGUGAAGAUGUGUGGGGAGAGAGGUACACCAUCCAAGUAUAAGGCCUUUGAGCUGCACCUGAAGAAGUCUCCUGCUUAGUACAUCAUGACUUCCAUCGCCUCCUCUGUCAUAUUUGUCACAUCUGUUCGUCAUUGGUUUCCAAUUGUGCUCAUCAUCAUCAUGGGUUUUCUCCCCUCUGCCAUCAAGGAACCCCAGAUUAGGUCUCUGAAAAUCCUUCUGGUUAUUCGUGGUCUCAAGGUUAAGACUCACGACCUGGACCAAUUUUUGGAGGAGACUGCUAUAUUGGCUCCCUGGAUAUCCCCAGAGAACAUGUGGGACCCUGACCUCUGGAUGUGUGUUCUCUUCCUUGCCUAAAAGCACGAGAUAGAGUCUGGAAUUAUCCCUCC
ensembl:lincRNA 1700092C17Rik RIKEN cDNA 1700092C17 gene